rnacentral:rRNA from 1 species
GCCAUGCCUUUACCCAUGCAAGUCGAACGGCAGCACGGGAGCAAUCCUGGUGGCGAGUGGCGAACGGGUGAGUAAUAUAUCGGAACGUGCCCAGUCGUGGGGGAUAACGCAGCGAAAGCUGUGCUAAUACCGCAUACGAUCUAUGGAUGAAAGCGGGGGACUCGCAAGAGCCUCGCGCGAUUGGAGCGGCCGAUAUCAGAUUAGCUAGUUGGUGGGGUAAAAGCCCACCAAGGCGACGAUCUGUAGCUGGUCUGAGAGGACGACCAGCCACACUGGAACUGAGACACGGUCCAGACUCCUACGGGAGGCAGCAGUGGGGAAUUUUGGACAAUGGGCGCAAGCCUGAUCCAGCAAUGCCGCGUGCAGGAUGAAGGCCUUCGGGUUGUAAACUGCUUUUGUACGGAACGAAACGGCUCCUAUUAAUACUAGGGGCUAAUGACGGUACCGUAAGAAUAAGCACCGGCUAACUACGUGCCAGCAGCCGCGGUAAUACGUAGGGUGCGAGCGUUAAUCGGAAUUACUGGGCGUAAAGCGUGCGCAGGCGGUUAUAUAAGACAGAUGUGAAAUCCCCCCGGGCUCAACCUGGGACCUGCAUUUGUGACUGUAUAGCUAGAGUACGGUAGAGGGGGAUGGAAUUCCGCGUGUAGCAGUGAAAUGCGUAGAUAUGCGGAGGAACACCGAUGGCGAAGGCAAUCCCCUGGACCUGUACUGACGCUCAUGCACGAAAGCGUGGGGAGCAAACAGGAUUAGAUACCCUGGUAGUCCACGCCCUAAACGAUGUCAACUGGUUGUUGGUGGAGUAAAAUCCAUGAGUAACGCAGCUAACGCGUGAAGUAGACCGCCUGGGGAGUACGGUCGCAAGAUUAAAACUCAAAGGAAUUGACGG